rnacentral:tRNA from 1 species
AUUUAUAUAGUUUACUAAAAAUUUAAUACUGAAAAUAUUAAGAUAAUAUAUAUAUUUAUAUUUUUAAAUA